UUGGAGGGCAAGUCUGGUGCCAGCAGCCGCGGUAAUUCCAGCUCCAAUAGCGUAUAUUAAAGUUGUUGCAGUUAAAAAGCUCGUAGUUGAAUUUCGGGGUUCUACCGUUGGUCGGGCAAUAGUCUGUACUGGCGUGUAGAAUUUCUACCUUCUGGGGAACCAUCAUGUUAUUUAUUUAGCGUGGUGGGAAACCAGGACCUUUACCUUGAAAAAAUUAGAGUGUUCAAAGCAGGCUUACGUCUGAAUACAUUAGCAUGGAAUAAUAAAAUAGGACGGUGGUCCUGUUUUGUUGGUUUCUGAAUCACCGUAAUGAUUAAUAGGGAUAGUUGGGGGCAUUAGUAUUCAAUUGUCAGAGGUGAAAUUCUUGGAUUUAUUGAAGACUAACUUCUGCGAAAGCAUUUGCCAAGGAUGUUUUCAUUAAUCAAGAACGAAAGUUAGGGGAUCGAAGACGAUCAGAUACCGUCGUAGUCUUAACCAUAAACUAUGCCGACUAGGGAUCGGACGAUGUUAAUUUUUCUUGACUCGUUCGGCGCCUUACGGGAAAC
rnacentral:rRNA from 1 species